rnacentral:rRNA from 1 species
ACCUUCGGAUCCCCUAGUACUGCGAGUGAGCGGGAAAAGCUCAAAUUUAAAAUCUGGCAGUCUUUGGCUGUCCGAGUUGUAAACUAGAGAAGUGUUACCCGCGUCGGACCGUGUACAAGUCUCCUGGAAUGGAGCAUCAUAGAGGGUGAGAAUCCCGUCUUUGACAUGGACUACCGAGGCUUUUGUGGUGCGCUCUCAACGAGUCGAGUUGUUUGGGAAUGCAGCUCAAAAUGGGUGGUAAAUUCCAUCUAAAGCUAAAUAUUGGCGAGAGACCGAUAGCGAACAAGUACCGUGAGGGAAAGAUGAAAAGAACUUUGGAAAGAGAGUUAAACAGUACGUGAAAUUGCUGAAAGGGAAACGCUUGAAGUCAGUCGCGUUGGCCGGAAAUCAACCCUGCUUCUGUUGGGUGUACUUUCUGGUUGACGGGCCAGCAUCAGUUUUGACCGGUGGAAAAAGUCCAAGGGAAUGUGGCAUCUCCGGAUGUGUUAUAGCCCUUGGUCGUAUACAUCGGUUGGGACUGAGGAAUUCAGCACGCCGCAAGGCCGGGUUUCGACCACGUUCGUGCUUAGGAUGCUGGCAUAAUGGCUUUAAUCGACCCGUCUUGAAAACCGGACCAA